rnacentral:lncRNA from 1 species
CUGCAGUUAUACUUGAGGAACUGCUCAAGUGUCAGAGAUUGGAAACGAAGCAAAGCAUCAUCGACUCUACAAACAAGUUGAAAUGCUGGAAAUGAAUCAACAGCAUUUCAACCUGUUUGAAAACUAGCUUUGUCUUUAGCUGUUUUAAAAAAGGAUUAUUUCGUGUUUUGACAUGUUUAUACGUGCUGUUUGAAAUUUUUUUAAGCUUACUGAAGAUUAUAGGUUGAGCUUGACCCGGUAAUGCUUGACGUUGGCAAGGAUUACUUUGGUUUCACACAAACUGAUCGCUUGAAGGUAAACCCCUUCUUUUUUAAUACAAAGUUCCUAUCCUUUUUUAUGUUUAUAUUCAAUUUAUCAUCACUCAGCCUUUUAUAAUAGGUGCAUAUUGCUGAUGGAAUCAAAUACAUUAGAGACGUAACAAACUCUGAAUCUUCUUCCGAGAAAGCGUCGGACGCUGUCUCUAAAACAGAGUCGACUAGUUCCAACAAUGCGGAAGGCAGCACUUGUCCUGACAUCUUGAUUAUAGAUGUUGAUUCAGCAGAUUCAAGGUAUGCACUAGGCCAACUACUAUUUACAUUUCUAUGACUUCUUGCAUUGAUCUUACCGUUUUUUCAUGUUUGCUUUCUGUCUGUAGCGGUGGAUUAACCUGUCCUGCAUCUGAGUUUAUUGAAGAGACAUUUCUUCUUUCAGUUAAGCGUGCUCUCCCUCAGCAUGGUCUUUUUGUAGUGAACUUAGUCUCAAGGUCACAAUCCGUCAAAGAUAUGGUUGCAUCAAGAAUGAAAAAGGUAAAAACCAAGUGUGAUUCGAUCCUUGUGAAUCUGCUGCUACACUAGUAGUUGGUUUUGAGUCGGAAUUUGUAACUGGUGUCUUUUGUUUUGCUGUGUUUACAAGGUUUUCGAUCGCUUGUUCAGCCUGCAACUAGAAGAGGAAGAUGAUGUAAACGUGGUGCUGUUUGGGCUCUGCUCAGAAUCUGUAAUCGGUGAGAGCGAUAUUCCAGAGUCUGCAGUUAUACUUGAGGAACUGCUCAAGUGUCAGAGAUUGGAAACGAAGCAAAGCAUCAUCGACUCUACAAACAAGUUGAAAUGCUGGAAAUGAAUCAACAGCAUUUCAACCUGUUUGAAAACUAGCUUUGUCUUUAGCUGUUUUAAAAAAGGAUUAUUUCGUGUUUUGACAUGUUUAUACGUGCUGUUUGAAAUUUUUUUAAGCUUACUGAAGAUUAUACUUAUGU